UACGUAGGACACGAGCGUUAUCCGGAUUUACUGGGCGUAAAGCGCCUGUAGGCGGUUAGAUAAGUCGGCUGUGAAAGCCCUGGGCUUAACCCGGGGAGGCCAGGCGAUACUGUCUGACUUGAGGGUGACAGAGGGGAGUGGAAUUCCCGGUGUAGCGGUAAAAUGCGCAGAUAUCGGGAGGAACACCAGUGGCGAAGGCGGCUCCCUGGGUCACCCCUGACGCUGAGAGGCGAAAGCUAGGGGAGCGAACAGGAUUAGAGACCCUGGUAGUCCUAGCCCUAAACGCUGGAUGCUAGGUGUGGGAUCGAGAGGUUCCGUGCCACAGCUAACGCGAUAAGCAUCCCGCCUGGGGACUACGGCCGCAAGGCUAAA
rnacentral:rRNA from 1 species